AGAGUUUGAUCAUGGCUCAGAAUCAACGCUGGCGGCGUGCCUAACACAUGCAAGUCGAACGCGAAAGUCCCGCAAGGGAUCAGUAGAGUGGUAAACGGGUGAGUAACACGUGGGUGACCUACCUUUGAGCGGGGGAUAACGUCCCGAAAGGGACGCUAAUACCGCAUGACAUCCUGCCUUUGAAGAGGUGGAGAUCAAAGCCGGGGACCGCAAGGCCUGGCACUUGAAGAGGGGCCCGCGUCUGAUUAGCUAGUUGGUGGGGUAACGGCUCACCAAGGCAACGAUCAGUAUCCGGCCUGAGAGGGCGGACGGACACACUGGGACUGAGACACGGCCCAGACUCCUACGGGAGGCAGCAGUGGGGAAUUGUUCGCAAUGGGCGCAAGCCUGACGACGCAACGCCGCGUGGAGGACGAAGAUCUUCGGGUCGUAAACUCCUUUCGAUCGAGACGAACGGCUUCCGGGUGAACAAUCCGGGAGAGUGACGGUACCGAGAGAAGAAGCCCCGGCUACUCCGUGCCAGCAGCCGCGGUA
rnacentral:rRNA from 1 species